rfam:Candidatus Taylorbacteria bacterium RIFCSPHIGHO2_02_FTLL_44_12 rifcsphigho2_02_scaffold_3548, whole genome shotgun sequence.
GGGCCGUUAGCUCAUCUGGCAGAGCGCACCCAUGGCAUGGGUGAGGUGACCGGUUCAAGUCCGGUACGGUCCA